rnacentral:rRNA from 1 species
UGAGCGGAGAUAUAUGGAGCUUGCUUUAUAUAACUUAGCAGCGAACGGGUGAGUAACACGUAGAUAAUCUAUCCUAUACUGGGGGAUAGCCCGAUGAAAGUUGGAUUAAUACCGCAUAUAGCUAUAUAGUUGCAUGAUUAUGUAGUGAAAGAUUUAUUGGUAUAGGAGGAGUCUGCGGCACAUUAGCUAGUAGGUGAGGUAAAGGCUUACCUAGGCGACGAUGUGUAGCCGGUCUGAGAGGAUGAACGGCCACAAUGGAACUGAGACACGGUCCAUACUCCUACGGGAGGCAGCAGUGGGGAAUAUUGCACAAUGGGGGAAACCCUGAUGCAGCAACGCCGCGUGAGUGAAGAAGGUUUUCGGAUUGUAAAGCUCUGUUAGCAGGGAAGAGGAAGGACGGUACCUGCAGAGGAAGCCACGGCUAACUACGUGCCAGCAGCCGCGGUAAUACGUAGGUGGCAAGCGUUGUUCGGAAUAACUGGGCGUAAAGGAUGCGUAGGCGGUUAAACAAGUUAUAUGUUAAAUAUAUAGGCUUAACCUGUAGAAAGCAUAUAAAACUGUUUAACUAGAGUGCAGGAGAGGUAAGUGGAAUUCCUAGUGUAGCGGUGAAAUGCGUAGAGAUUAGGAAGAACACCAGUGGCGAAGGCGACUUACUGGACUGUAACUGACGCUGAGGCAUGAGAGCAUGGGGAGCAAACAGGAUUAG